UAGAACGAAAUAAACGCCGCGCAAUAGU
rnacentral:piRNA from 1 species